rnacentral:rRNA from 1 species
AUUGAACGCUGGCGGCAUGCCUUACACAUGCAAGUCGAACGGCAGCGCGGGGCAACCUGGCGGCGAGUGGCGAACGGGUGAGUAAUAUAUCGGAACGUACCCUGGAGUGGGGGAUAACGUAGCGAAAGUUACGCUAAUACCGCAUACGAUCUAAGGAUGAAAGUGGGGGAUCGCAAGACCUCAUGCUCCUGGAGCGGCCGAUAUCUGAUUAGCUAGUUGGUAGGGUAAAAGCCUACCAAGGCAUCGAUCAGUAGCUGGUCUGAGAGGACGACCAGCCACACUGGAACUGAGACACGGUCCAGACUCCUACGGGAGGCAGCAGUGGGGAAUUUUGGACAAUGGGCGCAAGCCUGAUCCAGCAAUGCCGCGUGAGUGAAGAAGGCCUUCGGGUUGUAAAGCUCUUUUGUCAGGGAAGAAACGGUGUUUUCUAAUACAGAGCGCUAAUGACGGUACCUGAAGAAUAAGCACCGGCUAACUACGUGCCAGCAGCCGCGGUAAUACGUAGGGUGCAAGCGUUAAUCGGAAUUACUGGGCGUAAAGCGUGCGCAGGCGGUUUUGUAAGACUGUCGUGAAAUCCCCGGGCUCAACCUGGGAAUGGCGAUGGUGACUGCAAGGCUAGAGUUUGGCAGAGGGGGGUAGAAUUCCACGUGUAGCAGUGAAAUGCGUAGAUAUGUGGAGGAACACCGAUGGCGAAGGCAGCCCCCUGGGUCAAAACUGACGCUCAUGCACGAAAGCGUGGGGAGCAAACAGGAUUAGAUACCCUGGUAGUCCACGCCCUAAACGAUGUCUACUAGUUGUCGGGUUUUAAUUAACUUGGUAACGCAGCUAACGCGUGAAGUAGACCGCCUGGGGAGUACGGUCGCAAGAUUAAAACUCAAAGGAAUUGACGGGGACCCGCACAAGCGGUGGAUGAUGUGGAUUAAUUCGAUGCAACGCGAAAAACCUUACCUACCCUUGACAUGGCAGAAAUCCCGGAGAGAUUUGGGAGUGCUCGAAAGAGAAUCUGCACACAGGUGCUGCAUGGCUGUCGUCAGCUCGUGUCGUGAGAUGUUGGGUUAAGUCCCGCAACGAGCGCAACCCUUGUCAUUAGUUGCUACGAAAGAGCACUCUAAUGAGACUGCCGGUGACAAACCGGAGGAAGGUGGGGAUGACGUCAAGUCCUCAUGGCCCUUAUGGGUAGGGCUUCACACGUCAUACAAUGGUACAUACAGAGGGCCGCCAACCCGCGAGGGGGAGCUAAUCCCAGAAAGUGUAUCGUAGUCCGGAUUGUAGUCUGCAACUCGACUGCAUGAAGUUGGAAUCGCUAGUAAUCGCGGAUCAGCAUGUCGCGGUGAAUACGUUCCCGGGUCUUGUACACACCGCCCGUCACACCAUGGGAGCGGGUUUUACCAGAAGUAGGUAGCUUAACCGUAAGGAGGGCGCUUACCACGGUAGGAUUCGUGACUGGGGUG